UUGUCAGCAGCCGCGGUAAUACGUAGGGGGCAAGCGUUGUCCGGAUUUAUUGGGCGUAAAGAGCGUGUAGGCGGCCAUGCAGGUCCGUUGUGAAAACCCGAGGCUUAACCUCGGGACGUCGAUGGAAACCGCGUGGCUAGAGUCCGGAAGAGGAGAGUGGAAUUCCUGGUGUAGCGGUGAAAUGCGCAGAUAUCAGGAAGAACACCCGUGGCGAAGGCGGCUCUCUGGGACGGUACUGACGCUGAGACGCGAAAGCGUGGGGAGCGAACAGGAUUAGAAACCCUUGUAGUCC
rnacentral:rRNA from 1 species